rnacentral:rRNA from 1 species
UACGUAGGGUCCAAGCGUUGUCCGGAUUUAUUGGGCGUAAAGAGCUCGUAGGCGGUUUCGUAAGUCGGAUGUGAAAACUCAGGGCUCAACCCGGAGACGCCAUCUGAUACUGCGAUGACUUGAGUCUGGUAGGGGAACACGGAAUUCCUGGUGUAGCGGUGAAAUGCGCAGAUAUCAGGAGGAACACCGGUGGCGAAGGCGGUUCUCUGGGACGGUACUGACGCUGAGACGCGAAAGCGUGGGGAGCGAACAGG